rnacentral:rRNA from 1 species
CCUACGGGAGGCAGCAGUGAGGAAUAUUGGUCAAUGGACGAGAGUCUGAACCAGCCAAGUAGCGUGAAGGAUGACUGCCCUAUGGGUUGUAAACUUCUUUUAUAUGGGAAUAAAAUAGUGUACGCAUACCAUUUUGUAUGUACCAUAUGAAUAAGGAUCGGCUAACUCCGUGCCAGCAGCCGCGGUAAUACGGAGGAUCCGAGCGUUAUCCGGAUUUAUUGGGUUUAAAGGGAGCGUAGGUGGAUUGUUAAGUCAGUUGUGAAAGUUUGCGGCUCAACCGUAAAAUUGCAGUUGAAACUGGCAGUCUUGAGUACAGUAGAGGUGGGCGGAAUUCGUGGUGUAGCGGUGAAAUGCUUAGAUAUCACGAAGAACUCCGAUUGCGAAGGCAGCUCACUGGACUGCAACUGACACUGAUGCUCGAAAGUGUGGGUAUCAAACAGGAUUAGAUACCCGAGUAGUC